GGGACAGUGGCUCAGUGGUGGAGUGCAUGCCUUACAUGCAUGAGGCCCUGGGUUCGAUUCCUCAGCACCA
rfam:Dipodomys ordii contig_34174, whole genome shotgun sequence.